UUGAGGAGGCAGUGACCAUGGCGGUGUAGGUGGAAGCGGCGGUGGAGGAGGAAGAGGUAGCCCACACUGUUUUUUUUUUUUUUUAAUUAGGGUAGCCCCCAAAAUAUUGGGACAUAUAAAAAAAAAAUAAGUGCAAUUGAGUAUAACAAUGGCUGGGUGAGGUCGGUAUAAAUGUCUAUUCUGCACAAGGUACAGACAAGUCUGGUGGGAUCCAUGCAUGGUUUAUUUUAAUAAACGCUGGUGGUGGACAGGCGGCCGCGCUAGUCUGUGAUAACCUCGUGCCGAUCGCACGUCCCCGUGACGGUGACAACACAUUUGGAUGUCUGCCCUCUCUGGAAUCGUAACGGGGACUCAGGGUUCGAUUCCAAAGAGAGAGCUUGAGAAACGGCUACCACAUGCAAGGAAGGCAGCAGGUGCGCAAAUUACCCACUCCCGACGCGGGGAGGUAGUGACUACAAAUAACAAUACACUACUCUUUUGAGACCCUUUAAUUGUAAUGAGUCCACUUUAAAUCCUUUAACUUGGAUCAAUUGGAAGGCAAGUCUGGGGCAGAGCGACUGACCCGUGCGUGCUGCAGCUGAAACUCCACUAUCGCCUGCUUCUG